CCUGAAGAGAGGCCUAGUUUAAAUCACAAUUCCGAAUCUGGGGCAAUGGAAUCACUGUUUCCAGCUGGGGCAGGUGAGAUCUUUCCACCUUCUAUAAUAUGCCAUCCCUACUAAUAGGAUAUUGACUUGGAUAGCUUGAUGUCUCAUGACGAGCGGCGCUCUGCAUCCCUCACCCAUGCCUCCUAACUCAGUGAUCAAAGCGAAUAUUCCAUCUGUGGACAGAACCCCUGGCAGUGUUGUCAGCUCAAGCUGGUGGGUUCAGUUCUGUCCUGAGGCUUCUGCUCUCAUUCACUUAGUGCUACGCUGCACAGUUCUACACUGUCAAGGGAAAAGGGAGACUAAUGAGGCUUAACUCAAAACCUGGGCAUGGUUUUGGUUGCCAUUCCAUAGGUUUGGAGAGCUCUAGAUCUCUUUUGUGCUGGGUUCAGUGGCUCUUCAGGGGACAGGAAAUGCCUGUGUCUGGCCAGUGUGGUUCUGGAGCUUUGGGGUAACAGCAGGAUCCAUCAGUUAGUAGGGUGCAUGUCAGACGAUCAUACCCAAUUCAUAUGGAAGUCCCGGGUCUGUCUUCC
rnacentral:lncRNA from 1 species